UCGGGCCUAUUUGUAGGAUGUGGGACACU
rnacentral:piRNA from 1 species